AUGGCGGUGAAUACUAAUUCAGGGAUUAUCAAUAGAAGUAGAUCCUUGGAAAGCAAUGUUUAUGGUAGAUCCUACCUGAAGGUCAAGAUGGACAGUGUGGGUCAAAGGAGGCUGACCAUUCAUUCUGCUGCCUUGCUGCAUAAUCCAAGAAGCUUAUGUAAGAAGAACAGCAAAGACUUUAAGCUGCCAACAACAGUUUGGAGUAUGGAGAAAGAAGAGAAUUUAAAAAUAUCCUGUUCUACAUGGCUUGCAGAGUUACUGUUCAUGCCAAGUUCGUUGAGGCAAAUGGUAGAAGUUACUCACACAGUGGAAGCUGUGCAGUAG
rnacentral:lncRNA from 1 species